GAGCACUUGCUUUGGUUGCACCCAUACUAAAUUUGGUAUAAGAGAAGAUUGGCUUGGUUCCUGCAUGAGGAUGACAUAUACAUUCAUGAAACAUUUUGUAUUUUC